UUCUGUUUCUGAGAUCUGCAUGAAUGUAUUGGAGGAUGGAUACUGAAGCAAGCAAAAAAGAAUUUUGUUUUGCAAAAUACACAUGAGCAAAAGUUGAUUAUGACAAUCAAAUCAACUAAUAAGCCUCAGUUUCCAACUAGUUUGGAUUGAAUAUAUGAAUCUAAAGAGAGAGGCUCAGGAAGCUGUAUCUGUAAGAUAUAUGGAUUUAUAUCUAGAUAUAUGGACUUAUAUCUACACACAUAUGAACAAUAUAUGGAUAAAUUAUAUGUUAUGUGCUAUCUUUUGGUUUGGCCUAAAUAUGUGGUCUUAUGGACAUAAGGUUAAGGGGGCCAAUGUAUUGUCAUAUAAAGUGUAGGACUAAUGUGUAGAUACCCAAAAGGGUAACCUUAGUUAAUGANNNN
rnacentral:lncRNA from 1 species